rnacentral:lncRNA from 1 species
UCUUCAUACCUUCAUCAUCAAUGCUGCUUAUAACUUCAAUAUUCUGAUCUCCUCCUUCUUCCUUCUUGGCCUCUUCUUUGUUCUCAUUUUUCUCAGGGUUUUCACCAGCUUCUUGUUUCUUGGGUUCUUCUUCUGUUGCUUUUUGAUCCUCUUCUUUCUUCUCUGAGUUUUCUUCUUUUUUCUCUUCUGGUUUUGCUUCUUCUGGUUUAGGUUCUUCUGCUGCUGGUUUCUCUUCUUCUUUUUUCUCUUCUUUCUUUUCUGGUUCAGGCUCUGGCUGUGGCACUAUCUUCGCUUGCUUUUUGGUGCGUCUAUAAACAUAAUCCACCAGCUUCUCU